CUCAGCCUAUAAAAUGAGUCUG
rnacentral:siRNA from 1 species